rnacentral:rRNA from 1 species
AAUAGAUACCCGGGUAGUCCACGCCGUAAACGAUGGAUACUAGCUGUUCGGAGCAAUCUGAGUGGCUAAGCGAAAGUGAUAAGUAUCCCACCUGGGGAGUACGUUCGCAAGAAUGAAACUCAAAGGAAUUGACGGGGGCCCGCACAAGCGGUGGAGCAUGUGGUUUAAUUCGAUGAUACGCGAGGAACCUUACCAAGGCUUAAAUGUAGAUUGACCGGACUGGAAACAGUUUUUUCGCAAGACAAUUUACAAGGUGCUGCAUGGUUGUCGUCAGCUCGUGCCGUGAGGUGUCAGGUUAAGUCCUAUAACGAGCGCAACCCCUGUCGUUAGUUGCCAGCGAGUCAUGUCGGGAACUCUAACGAGACUGCCAGUGUAAACUGUGAGGAAGGUGGGGAUGACGUCAAAUCAUCACGGCCCUUACGCCUUGGGCUACACACGUGCUACAAUGGCCGGUACAGAGAGCAGCCACUGGGCGACCAGGAGCGAAUCUAUAAAACCGGUCACAGUUCGGAUCGGAGUCUGCAACUCGUAC